GGUCGAUCGUUCAAGCAGAGACAAAGGGGUGAAACCCUAGUUUCACCAAAUCCAUCCAAUUGAGAAGGAAAUUCAAGGAAAAAUCGAAUGCAUGAAACCCUAUUUCGAGCAUCAAACCUUGCUCAUUAAAAUGGCGUGAAAGAAGAAAGUUCAAGCACUAAGAAAACGGAAGACACGCAUGAUCGAGGUAAAGCACCUCUAUAGGCGAUUUGGAGGUAUGGGACGAGCACAUGUUCAAGCCUUAUAAUACCAAGCGCUUCCGCAACUUAUAUGCAUGCUUUCGGGUCCAUGUUUUGUUACUUGGUUAAACUUUGUUAAAUUGUUUUAGAUUUGAAAACUCGUUAUUUUUGUUGGAA